rnacentral:rRNA from 1 species
AGAGUUUGAUCCUGGCUCAGGAUGAACGCUGGCGGCGUGCCUAAUACAUGCAAGUCGAGCGAACAGACGAGGAGCUUGCUCCUUUGACGUUAGCGGCGGACGGGUGAGUAACACGUAGGUAACCUACCUAUAAGACUGGGAUAACUUCGGGAAACCGGAGCUAAUACCGGAUAAUAUUUCGAACCGCAUGGUUCGAUAGUGAAAGAUGGCUUUGCUAUCACUUAUAGAUGGACCUGCGCCGUAUUAGCUAGUUGGUAAGGUAACGGCUUACCAAGGCAACGAUACGUAGCCGACCUGAGAGGGUGAUCGGCCACACUGGAACUGAGACACGGUCCAGACUCCUACGGGAGGCAGCAGUAGGGAAUCUUCCGCAAUGGGCGAAAGCCUGACGGAGCAACGCCGCGUGAGUGAUGAAGGUCUUCGGAUCGUAAAACUCUGUUAUUAGGGAAGAACAAACGUGUAAGUAACUGUGCACGUCUUGACGGUACCUAAUCAGAAAGCCACGGCUAACUACGUGCCAGCAGCCGCGGUAAUACGUAGGUGGCAAGCGUUAUCCGGAAUUAUUGGGCGUAAAGCGCGCGUAGGCGGUUUUUUAAGUCUGAUGUGAAAGCCCACGGCUCAACCGUGGAGGGUCAUUGGAAACUGGAAAACUUGAGUGCAGAAGAGGAAAGUGGAAUUCCAUGUGUAGCGGUGAAAUGCGCAGAGAUAUGGAGGAACACCAGUGGCGACGCGACUUUCUGGUCUGUAACUGACGCUGAUGUGCGAAAGCGUGGGGAUCAAACAGAUUAGAUACCCUGGUAGUCCACGCCGUAAACGGUGGGCGCUAGUGGUGGGUUUUCUUCCACGGGAUCCGUGCCGUAGCUAACGCAUUAAGCGCCCCGGCCUGGGGAGUACGGCGCAAGCUAAAACU